rnacentral:tRNA from 1 species
GCCGAAGUGGCGGAAUUGGCAGACGCGCAUGGUUCAGGACCAUGUGCUCGUAAGAGCGUGGGGGUUCAACUCCCCCCUUCGGCACCA